rnacentral:rRNA from 1 species
AUACGGAGGGUGCAAGCGUUAAUCGGAAUUACUGGGCGUAAAGCGUGCGUAGGCGGUUUAUUAAGUCAGAUGUGAAAGCCCCGGGCUUAACCUGGGAACUGCAUUUGAUACUGGUAGACUAGAGUAUGCUAGAGGGGGGUAGAAUUCCUAGUGUAGCGGUGAAAUGCGUAGAUAUUAGGAGGAAUACCAGUGGCGAAGGCGGCCCCCUGGACCAAUACUGACGCUGAGGUACGAAAGCGUGGGGAGCGAACAGGAUUAGAAACCCUAGUAGUCC